AAGGCUUUAAGUUAAUUAAACUAAUAGUCUUCAAAAUUAUAAAUAAAGAGCUUAUCUUUAAGCCUUA
rnacentral:tRNA from 1 species